GCCCCUGUAGCUCAGUGGAUAGAGCAGCGGCCUUCUAAUCCGACGGUCGGGGGUUCGACUCCCUCCAGGGGCACCA
rnacentral:tRNA from 2 species